rnacentral:rRNA from 1 species
UACGUACCGUACGAACGUUAUUCGGGAUUACUGGGCUUAAAGGGUUUGUAGGCGGCCUUGUAAGUCAGGUGUGAAAUCCCUCGGCUCAACCGAGGAAUAGCGCUUGAUACUGCAAGGCUUGAGGGAGACAGGGGUAAGCGGAACUGAUGGUGGAGCGGUGAAAUGCGUUGAUAUCAUCAGGAACACCGGUGGCGAAAGCGGCUUACUGGGUCUCUUCUGACGCUGAGGAACGAAAGCUAGGGUAGCGAACGGG